rnacentral:lncRNA from 1 species
CAGUUCUCUUAGGAACUCUCAAGUUACAGAGGAGCAGACUGCUACUUUAUAUAUUACUCACACACCUAUGAGAUAAAAGAAGAGCCAUCAGAACACUCCAAGCCCUAUGAGAAGACAGAAGGAGGCCGGAUACUGAAUGAAGAUAAAGAAGGCCCCUGUUGAACAAGAGUGUGUUGGAAUUUUUUGUGGGUGAGGAGUAUCCGUUAUCACCUUUAAUUGUAAAAGGGAGCAGAAAGGACCAUUCAGAGGAGCAGUGGUGAAGCAAGACAGAGCAACGGGCACCAGGACAAAGGGUCUAGAAAUGUGGUUGGAAACAUUGGUAGACUGGGGCAUAAAAGAAGUAGGCAAAUAGAUUAUGUAGAGUCAGAGUUUGAUGUUAGGAGAUGAGGAGAAUUGGUCAUCAGAUCAGCAAAUGAAUGACUAUAACUGCCGUGCUGUUGUAACCAUAAAAGAUUGUUAAUGAAUGAAAGCUAAAGAACCAUAACAGUGUGCUUGAGAGAAAAAUAUUUAAAAAUAUUAAUAAGACAGAUGCUUGAUGAGAAUGGCACAGUAGUGACUUGACAUAUGUCUUUGAAAUCAAAAUUUGAUCCUUAUUCCCUAAGUUCCCUGUUUCUCAACAAAAAGAUGAUGAAAAAUGAAAGGAAAUAAAAGGAAUCUGAUGAAGUGCAAAGUCUACUUGGAAAUAAACCAUAUAAAGAAUGAUUCUAUUUUUUUAUGUUGGAAACUUUAGCAAUUUUAGAUUAAAAGAUUCACUGCUGCUACUGAUGUGGAAUAGGCUCUGGUUCCUAGGGUACCAGGCAAAUGCUUUAAGAGAAGAGGAAGUCACAAGUAAGUUUGUCUGCUUGACUAGUUAUUUAGAAAUAUAGUCUGCCAGUAUCUGUGUGUGCUCUGAGAUUCAAGAAGAACGUGAAAAAUUAGAGGCCUCCCUAUUAGAACAAGGGCAAACAUAGAGACCACUCCUGUCAGUUAAAUGCUUGUCUUCAUUGCAGUUGGGUAGCUUCAGCUUUGUUAUAGGCAUUUCCUUUUUUCUGAAAAAAAUAGGCAUUUUAGGAUUUUAUUAAGAUGAGUUUUCAGGGACAGAGUAAAAUAGAAGAGGACAUUUUUCCAAUGAACUCUGAGGCAAAUGUUUACUGAAGAACAGCCAUUAAUUAAUCUGGGGACAAUAAAACCCUUUUCCUGUCCUAUCUCCAGUUAAUAAUGCAUGACUAAAAGUUAUGUUCUAACUGUAAAUCAGGACAAACAACACAUACCACAAACUUAUUUCUCUCUCAAGUCCAAUAGUUUGAUAUGUGUGAUGUUAUAAAAUUCCCACUUCGGGCUGCACAUCUAAUGCUAUCUUUGAAAAUGUGCUAACAAACUUGAAAGUACUGGGGCUUUUUAAUACAUUUUUAUUACAAUGAGAAUUUUGAAAAAUGAAAUCUGACGCUUCUUACUCAGAACAUAAUGUGAAUGCAGAAUAGGAAAUAAGAGUAUGGAAACAGAAUUUAUGCCACACGGUAGGACUGUCUUAAUUCAUUAUCUAGAAUAGAAUACUUUUUCUUUCACUUAUUACAUAAUCAUUUUUAUGUUGCUUGCACAUUUUUACAUGAGAAUGUGUUUUUCUCGAGAAGAUUUUAUAUAGUCAAACUGACUCUGGGGAAGAGGGGCUGGGAUAGCCCAUUAAUAAUGUGUGAGGAACUCUGAUGCUGCCUUCAAAAAUGUACAGACCAUUAGAAACUGUAUUGAAGCGAAACUCUAAAAUUUUAAGGAAGAUAUUUUUGAACUCUGGGAAGAACUGGUGAGUAG